AGGGGUGUAGCUCAGUGGCAGAGUGCUUGCCUUGCAUGUAUGAGGCACUGGGUUCAAACCUCAGCACCACAU
rnacentral:tRNA from 1 species